GUAACUCUUAUCCAGCUUCUGCAUAGCUACUCAAUUACAAACCCUGCGUUCUUUCACACAGAAUACAGUGUUUCUUAGCCCAGGCUCUGAAGGCAUAUAUUUGAUCAUUAAAAAUACUUAUUGCAUUGUUUAUCAUGUGUGCAUGUAUGUACAAGGGUGCAUAUGUGUAUAGGUCAAAGGACAUCUCAGGUGUAAGGCUUGGCAGCUAGCCGCUUUACUCUCUGAGCCAGCUCACUGGCCUUUUUUAUUGUUGUUAAACUGUAUAACACUUAGUGUUUUCAGUAAUUAGUAGAUGUGUAUGUUCAGUGCUAUGAAUGGAUAGUUUGUGAGGUCAUUGUCCAGACUGAGACAGGAGCAUGGUGAUUUUGAGGUCAUCCUAGGGCUGCAAAAUGAAAGUCUGUCUGCAAAACCCCAAAACCUAAGCAAACCAACCAACAGUGGUCUAUAUAAGUUGCUUAGUGCAAAAAUUGAAAAAAGUUGGAAAAAGAAUUAUGGAAAAUGUUGGCAGGAAGGUAAUACUAAUGCGAGAUAGAUGAAAUUUAAAAUUAAAACCUUAGGACUGAGCACCGGGACCCCAAUGGAGUAGUUAGGGUUAGGGAUUGAAGGAGCUGAAAGGAUUUGCAACCCCAUAGGAAGAACAACAAUAUCAACCAACCAGAGCUUCCAGGGUCUAAAACACCAACCAAGGAGUACACAUGGAGGGACCCAUGGCUCCACCCUCAUACAUAGCAGAGGAUGGCCCUGUGACCACCAAUGGGAGGAGAGGCCCUUAGUUCUGUGAAGGCUCGAUGCCCCAGCAUGGGGGAAUGCCAGAGGUGAGAGUGGGUGGGUGGAUGGGUGGGGGACCACUCUCAUUAGAAGCAGGGGGGAGGAGGAAUGGGAUAGGGGGCUUCCAGAGGGAAAAUAGGUAAAGGGGAUAACAUUUGACAUGCAACUAAAGAAAAUAUCCACUAAAAAAAGCUCAGUGGUUAAGAGUGCUGACUGCUCUUCCAAAGGUCCCGAGUUCAAAUCCCAGCAACCACAUGGUGGCUCACAACCAUUCGUAACGAAAUCUGAUGCCCUCUUCUGGAGUAUCUGAAGACAGCUACAGUGUACUUAUAUAUAAUAAAUGAAUAAAUAAAUAAAUAAAUAAAUAAAUAAAUAAAUAAAUAAAUACCAUAUAACAAUAACAAAAUGUCUUAUGGCAAAACCUGAUGUUAUAGACAGGAACCUUUCCAUAGUGAAUGGCAUAAUGUUUAUAAAGUAAAUUGAGAGCUUAAUAUAACACAGUAAGCUUGGAAGUUUAAUUUGCUUCUUUAUCAGAACUGGGGUAGAUGAGAUAGAUAAAAUAUCUGAGGCCUAGAAGGACUAAUUUUAUCGAUGCUUUGAUACAGCUGCUAUAAGGAAAGCCUACCAGUCCCUAGCCAGAGACUGGGUCAGUUUAAGCAUCACUGGAAAGUUUGCUAGCCCACUGUGUGUACACUUGGUCACAUAGGAAGAGACAAAUGCAUUUUAGGUACACGGUUUAUAGUUCCUAUCUUAUCAUAACUUAGUAAAGCAGACAAAGAGGGAAUUAAACUUUCUCAACAUAUUUCUGUUGGCUCAAAGAAUUUAAAAAGGAAAGCAUUGAAAACAAGAAUAUUUUAUGUCACAGUUCUCAAAGCAUAUUUAAAAUUGUACCAGGAAAAAAAAACUUUGGCCUUAAGUUUUUUUUUAUUACUAC
rnacentral:lncRNA from 1 species